UUUCUUCUUCACUCUUCAGCUGCCGCAGCCCCUCUCCCUCCUUUCUGCCUCACGCCUCACGCGCAGCCCAGUCCAACACUCCGCACUCCUCCCUCUGCCUCACGCCUCCCUCUCCCUCACGCCUCACACCUCCCUCUGCCUCACGCCUCCCUCCUCCCUCUCCCUCACGCCUAACGCGCAACGCAGUCCAACAGUUCCUCACUCCGAUCAGCUCAGUCCGACCCCCCUCACUCACACACUUCCUCAGUCAGUCAGUCACUGAGUCCGUGAGCCUUCCCUCCCUCGCUCAGCUCAGCAGUCAGUCAGAGCCUAAAACGGAGAUGGAAGACACAAACACAGACACAAACAAAUCUGGGAGUUGUGCCACAAUUGAUGGGAGUUGUAUCACAAUUGAUGAAGAUUAAACAUUUUGUAUUAAUUUAGUAGUUUUUUUUUUUAAUUUCUUAGACUUGUUGGAUUAAUAUGUUGGUUUGUAAUUAUUCUAAACUUGUGGGAUUUAUUUUGUAGCUUUUUAAUUUCUUGGACUCGUUGAACUUUUGAUACUUAUUUCUUGGACUUGUUUGAUUUAUUUUAUUUUUAUGUUUAGCUA